rnacentral:rRNA from 1 species
GAUGAACGCUGGCGGCGUGCCUAAUACAUGCAAGUCGAGCGAACGGACGAGAAGCUUGCUUCUCUGAUGUUAGCGGCGGACGGGUGAGUAACACGUGGAUAACCUACCUAUAAGACUGGGAUAACUUCGGGAAACCGGAGCUAAUACCGGAUAAUCUUUUGAACCGCAUGGUUCAAAAGUGAAAGACGGUCUUGCUGUCACUUAUAGAUGGAUCCGCGCUGCAUUAGCUAGUUGGUAAGGUAACGGCUUACCAAGGCAACGAUGCAUAGCCGACCUGAGAGGGUGAUCGCCCACACUGGAACUGAGACACGGUCCAGACUCCUACGGGAGGCAGCAGUAGGGAAUCUUCCGCAAUGGGCGAAAGCCUGACGGAGCAACGCCGCGUGAGUGAUGAAGGUCUUCGGAUCGUAAAACUCUGUUAUUAGGGAAGAACAUAUGUGUAAGUAACUGUGCACAUCUUGACGGUACCUAAUCAGAAAGCCACGGCUAACUACGUG